GGGGAAGGAGGCGCGGAAGCUGGUGUGCGGGGGCCACCCAGUGUGGGCUCAGGAAGGGCAGGAGUGUGACCGAGGCCGGGUGUGGCCGGGAGAGCACAGCCAGUUGUGGGUUUUUCUUGGGGCCCAGAUAGACAUGAGCAGGGACGGAGGCCCCUCUCACUCAGCCCCCGCCACACACACUAGGGCCUUUCUUCA
rnacentral:lncRNA from 1 species